rnacentral:sRNA from 2 species
CGUACGUUUGUAUCUUUUAGCUAUUUGAAUUGAACUGCUUCAUGAAGCUGUUGAUGAUCGCAGUGGAAGAUGAAAUAGUGCCAAGCUUUAUCUAAUCAAGCCACUAACUGACAAGUCAGUUAACUAGUGGUUGGGCGCUGGACAAAGGAGGGAAGCGAGAAGAUGUUUUUAAUCCGCAGUUCAAAACGAACCUCACGUUCACAUCCCAUGAUAUCAGUUAUGCGCGUAUACUGAUGGAGUUGGAAGGCGGCGACUGUGGAAAAGGCGAAAUAAAACAUUGGUUCAAGACACAUUUAGGGAACCAGGUUCGAAGAAGGCAUUGAUUGGAGGACUCCCUCUCUUGAAAUGAGACGGCGUGAAAAAUGUGCGAAAUAACGAAUACGACCAACAGUCGCUAAAAUUCUCAUAAGUGGUUCGAAGAUUUGGUUAUAACAACAUACUAGCUGGUUGCAAAUCGUGAUUUGGUAACUAGUAAUCUCCCCCGUCUUUGAUCUUACGAAUAGCCCGGCACAUCCUUCAAAUCUCUCGUCGGUAUAUAGCUGGCGCAGUUCCCACCCUCAUCACUCCGAUCCCACGCCCAUCGCCGUACAAAUUCCUCUCCCAGCUCGUUGUCGAUCAUCUGGACAACAUACUUCCCAACAUUGGGCAAGAACUUCCACGCAUGGAAGGAUCCGCCGCCUACAAUAUACAGGUUCUGAACAUGGGGAUGUGGUGAAAUUAUCCAGUCCUGAUUUGGCGUGAUGGAAUCCCUGUGGUAUAUUUUUGUUAGAUUCAAGUGGACGAUAAUGUGUUUGGCAAUUUUGAUUCGAGCCUCACCAGCACAUCCGAUACUGCUUCGGCUCCAUAUUAUUUAUCCAGUUACCGAAGAGUUUAUCUCGCGCUGCCUUGGCCUCGUCCUUCAGCCCCUGGGGUACGUCUUGGGAAAAUAUCUGUUGAGUGACACGUGGGGGAGGCACAGAAAUUUCCUGCUUGGAGGCUUCGUGGAACACUUUGUGGGUAAAGCUCCGUUCGUGUGUGCAUUUUAUGAGGCCUGGUCCGCUCUGUGGAAUGCAUUCGGCUGGUACGUUGAGAUAUUAGCGAGUCAUUUUCCAAUAGGGGAAUCCAGGAGCGAGCUACCUGGAUAUUCACCCAUUGGGUGCACAACAAUGGGACAAUCGCUAAAUUUCUCUACUUGAUCCUCGGGGAGGCUGAAAGCACACAUAAUGGAAGCAGCCGCAACCAUUCGAUUACGGGCUUGUAUCUCUGGACGGUCUGGGGCGCUCUCAGCUAAAAUCCAGGGAGUAUAUGCCCCAGUGCAGAGAAUGACCUUAUCAGCAGACAGUUGGGUGUCUUCCAGGGUCGUAAUUCCGGAACAGUUGCCGUUCGAGUCAAAUGCAACUUUUGUAACCGUCGCCUGGAUAUACUUGAUCCCAAUAUCAACGGCAGACUGGAUGACAGCACGCAGGGCAUUGGCGGCGUCACCCCAUCCUGCAAGGGGAUUCCAAGUACACUUGGUGACUCCAGUCCAAUCUCCGUCCUGAAAGAUUCCACCAAAGCGAGCUUUGGCAUCUUCCGGAUCCAAGAGAACAGCGGGAGAGUUACCUUCGCCAAGCACCUUCUCGUAGCUCCUCACAACAGCUUGGCCAGGCGCCUCAAUGCCGAUAAAUAGGAUACCCGUCUUGUGAAAGUAAGGUUUUAACACAGGAUCGGUACGCCACUGCUCCUGUGCUUCUAGAGCGAGACGCAUAUACAUAGGAUCUUCAUAUUCGGCUCUGAUGAUUUUGUUCAGGUCGUGAGCUGCGGCAGAUGGGCAUGGGUAAGGGGUACGGUCGACCAACGUGACAUGUGCGUUGGGUUUCGCUUUCUUGAGCGCAAGGGCCGUGGAAGCACCAAAACAUCCCGCGCCUACAAUUAAAUAACUGGACGUGUCCAUCGUAGCCAUCAAGCGUAAAGUGCGCGGCGGACAGCAAGUUGAGUAGGCGAUGAAGUAAGGUAGUGUCGGUCGGUUGUAUCGCUAGGAGGAAACCAAAGUUGAUGGCUAGGACAAUAUUUAUAGUAGGCCAGACCUGGGCGGCAUCUUCCACGAUUCAUAACCCCGCCUGUUGCCGGUGUGUUGUUACCUCAUGCUAGGUUUCGCUGUGUUCUCCCAUUUUGCUUCUGUUGUGCUCUCUUUUCUCUUUUCUCUUUUCUGUAGCUUCCUGUCCUGCAGGUGAUGACGCCACAGAACAGUAGAGCCACCUUGACCACCCCUCCUUGCGAAGCAAGUCAUCAUUACGCCCUUGGAAGAACCAGGGUAUGGUAUCCAUGCCAUUAUAUGAUUGGAGAAGUGUUUCGCCGCAUGCGGCUAUCACGCAUUUUCGAAAUGGAAGUAUGAUAGAUCUUGGCAGUUGCUCGGAUAUUUGCAGAAUACUUUGCUUCGGAACUUGAUCCUUUUCAACGAUCCAUAUAUCCACCCACAUUUCUCAUGCGUACUUCGUCAUACAUUAAUAGUCAGGCAGGGGUCGCGGGAAGGCAGAACGGACGGAGGAAGAGCAUAGGUACACUCUUCCGCAAUUUUAAUCAGGGAUUUUACAAAGACAAGAAACAAACAAAGCAGCAUUCUUGGCCAGAAAAUUACCCUCAAACAUAGAAAGUAAGAGGAAAGAAUAUUAAUUGUAACAAAAAUUGAGAAUACAGGGGUGUCCGUUCUUGUCUAUUCAAAAGGUGUUCUAACCAAGGUGCCAACCUACCCACCUAGGUGUAGACAAGUAUUGGCUGGAAAAAUUGAUGUAAAUAUAUGAGAUGCUCCGAAACAGAAGUGUCAAGGAGUUUGGGAAGCCGCGGCAGGGCAGCACUAAGAUAUGACUUCCUUUGAACGGUGAUGUGCGAGGAUACCUCCACACCAUCUCUUAGCAAACACCAACAUCCUAUGAACUUCUACGACAAGAUAUAUACAAGGAAAUAUUCCAUAAUCCCCUACCCUUUAAUCUCUAGCAGGCUCUUCACCGUAUCGACCACACUCUGCCUCAACGACCGAUACUCCAACCCCAACACGUCCCUCGACCUCUCAUUAUCAAACCCAGAAUAUCCCUCUGCGGGGAAAUCACCAGGUUUCAAUGCAUCUUCCUCCACCGGCAACUUCUCCCUCAGCUGUGGAAAUUCCUCGUAGAUGAUACCGGCCACCUGGCGAUUGCUGAAGUUGCCCGCUGUGACAAAGAAGCGCUGAUUGGCAGCUUCCUUCUGUUUUUCAGCAGCGAGUAUGUGCGCGAGAGCGACGUCGCGCACGUCGACCCAUAGAUACGUGCCUGUUGGCGGGCAUGAGUGCUUUCCGGCCCCCGUGAUCAGGUCGCGAAUACGCUCGUUGGAGGUGUUGAGCGUGGCGAAGGAGUCCACAUGGUGGAUGACUGGCCCGAGGACGACAGGGGGGUUUAUCUGUUCCGUCUCAGCAGCGGUUCAAUUGGGUUUGUAUCUAUGGUAGAAUGGAUAUUUAAGUCGUUGUGCAUACCGUCGUGACGGUGAAGUUUGGUUUCUCAUUUUCAACAAAUUCCCAAGCGGCCCUUUCCUGUGACGUUCAUGUCAGCCAUUUUUUAUUUUUUAUUUUUAUUUUUAUUUUUUCUGAUGGCGGGGGUGGGGGGUCUCAUAAUCAUUUAAACAGGGGUUUACCACAACGUACAGCAAAUGUCUUGCUCGCCCGAUAACCAUAAAUUGGGUUGAGAAGUGCUUCUGCCUCUGUGAUAGGAUUCCAAUCUGCCUGUUGUUAAUGUUAGAUGACGUAGAUAUUUAUCACAUCAAGGGCAGCAAACGGCAAAUUUGUGCACCUCUGAGUAUUUAUACGUAGGAGGCUUCUUGGCAUCAAUGAUAGCGGCGAAGGAAGAUGUAAUAACUACAUGCUUGACCGUUGGCGCACUUCGUUUGAUGGCACGAAGGAUUCCAACGGUGCCAUUGAUAGCUGUGUGUUAUUUUUGGCAAACAAAUAAGUCAGUGGGAAUCCGGUUGAACAUGUCAUUCUGCAAUCAACGAGAUACAAACAUUAUCUAUACGUACCCGGAUCGAGAUAUUCGGUUUGAUUAUUAUCAGCUCUGAAGUGGAAGGGACUAGCCGUGUGAAUAACAACCUCGAAGGGCGGGUCCGCAAUAACAGCCUCGUCAAAUGCAUCAAGUUUCGCGAUGUCCUCCACGAUCGCGAAGUCUAGUUUGUCCUUCGGCACAUCUGGAUGAGAGUCUCUGAUUUUACGAGCCUUUUCUUCUGAGCGCACGGUGGUCACUACCGAGUGGCCGCGGUGCAGAAGAGCGUCCAGGACAUGAGCCGCGAUGAAACCGCUUCCACCUGCAUGUAUAAAAACUUUGUUAGUUUGUCUUUCCGCCAAUUUGCUGAAUUUAUGUUUUACGGGAUGCGAGUAGGCCGUCUCCUGUACCUGUGAGAAGGAUUCGUGUCAUUUUGUAUAGUUGGGAAGGUUGGUAAGAUUAUCAGAGCAGAGAUUCAACGAUGUGUCGCGGGGUUGGGAAGAAGUAGUUAAUAAGGAUCAGUCAAUUGGAAGCCCAAGCCUUAACUUGAUCUCUUUCCCCCUUUAAUUUACGUUUCUCAUUUUACACGCUUCGUGAGCAAAGAAA